rnacentral:rRNA from 1 species
AGAGUUUGAUCAUGGCUCAGAGUAACGCUGGCGGCGUGCUUAACACAUGCAAGUCGAACGAGACGGCUUGUCAGCUGUGGCGCACGGGUGAGUAAUAUAUAGGUAACAUGCCUCUUACUAAGGGAUAACAGAUGGAAACGUCUGCUAAUACCUUAUACCUUUAAUACUGAAGUAUGCAAGGGAAAGAUUUAUUGGUAGGAGAUUGGCCUGUACGGUAUCAGUUAGUUGGUGAGGUAAUGGCUCACCAAGACGAUGACACCUAACUGGUUUGAGAGGAUGAUCAGUCACACUGGAACUGAGACACGGUCCAGACUCCUACGGGAGGCAGCAGUGGGGAAUAUUGCACAAUGGACGAAAGUCUGAUGCAGCAACGCCGCGUGGAGGCACUUCGGCGACUCCUUUUAUAGGUCUAAAGCCUAUGAAUAAGCGCCGGCAACUCCGUGCCAGCAGCCGCGGUAAUACGGAGGGCGCAAGCGUUACUCGGAAUCACUGGGCGUAAAGAGCGUGUAGGCGGAUUAAUAAGUCAGAAGUGAAAUCCAAUAGCUUAACUAUUGAACUGCUUUUGAAACUGUUGAUCUAGAGUGUGGGAGAGGUAGAUGGAAUUUCUGGUGUAGGGGUAAAAUCCGUAGAUAUCAGAAGGAAUACCGAUUGCGAAGGCGAUCUACUGGAACUAACUGACGCUGAGACGCGAAAGCGUGGGGAGCAAACAGGAUUAGAUACCCUGGUAGUCCACGCCCUAAACGAUGUACACUAGUUGUUGCCUUGCUAGACAAGGCAGUAAUGCACCUAACGGAUUAAGUGUACCGCCUGGGGAGUACGGUCGCAAGAUUAAAACUCAAAGGAAUAGACGGGGACCCGCACAAGCGGUGGAGCAUGUGGUUUAAUUCGACGAUACGCGAAGAACCUUACCUGGCCACAUACUAAAAAGCUUUAAGAGAUUAGAGUGCUUGUUGUAGGUGCUGCACGGCUGUCGUCAGCUCGUGUCGUGAGAUGUUGGGUUAAGUCCCGCAACGAGCGCAACCCUCGUGUUUAGUUGCCAUCAGGUAGGCUGGGGACUCUAAUGAGACUGCCAUCGUAAGUGUGAGGAAGGUGGGGAUGACGUCAAAUCAGCACGGCCCUUACGUCCGGGGCGACACACGUGUUACAAUGGGUGGUACAAAGGGCAGCUACCUGGCGACAGGAUGCUAUCUCGAAAACCGCUCUCAGUUCGGAUCGGAGUCUGCAACUCGACUCCGUGAAGCUGGAUUCGCUAGUAAUCGCGCAUCAGCCACGGCGCGGUGAAUACGUUCCCGGGCCUGUACACACCCCCGUC